CGAUUGAACGCUGGCGGAAUGCUUUACACAUGCAAGUCGAACGGCAGGCACGGGGCAACCUGGUGGCGAGUGGCGAACGGGUGAGUAAUAUAUCGGAACGUGCCCAGUCGUGGGGGAUAACGCAGCGAAAGCUGUGCUAAUACCGCAUACGAUCUAUGGAUGAAAGCGGGGGAUCGCAAGACCUCGCGCGAUUGGAGCGGCCGAUAUCAGAUUAGGUAGUUGGUGGGGUAAAGGCCCACCAAGCCAACGAUCUGUAGCUGGUCUGAGAGGACGACCAGCCACACUGGAACUGAGACACGGUCCAGACUCCUACGGGAGGCAGCAGUGGGGAAUUUUGGACAAUGGGCGCAAGCCUGAUCCAGCAAUGCCGCGUGCAGGAUGAAGGCCUUCGGGUUGUAAACUGCUUUUGUACGGAACGAAAAGGCUCUGGUUAAUACCUGGGGCUCAUGACGGUACCGUAAGAAUAAGCACCGGCUAACUACGUG
rnacentral:rRNA from 1 species